rnacentral:rRNA from 1 species
UACGGGGGGAGCAAGCGUUGUUCGGAUUUACUGGGCGUAAAGGGCGCGUAGGCGGCCUCUGCAAGUCAGUUGUGAAAUCUCCGAGCUUAACUCGGAAAGGUCAACUGAUACUGCGGGGCUAGAGUGCGGAAGGGGCAACUGGAAUUCUUGGUGUAGCGGUGAAAUGCGUAGAUAUCUGGAGGAACACCGGUGGCGAAGGCGGCAUUCUGGACCGACAUUGACGCUGAGGCGCGAAAGCCAGGGGAGCAAACGGG